rnacentral:rRNA from 1 species
GCCUAACACAUGCAAGUCGAACGGCAGCACAGUAAGAGCUUGCUCUUAUGGGUGGCGAGUGGCGGACGGGUGAGGAAUACAUCGGAAUCUACUCUUUCGUGGGGGAUAACGUAGGGAAACUUACGCUAAUACCGCAUACGACCUACGGGUGAAAGCGGAGGACCUUCGGGCUUCGCGCGAUUGAAUGAGCCGAUGUCGGAUUAGCUAGUUGGCGGGGUAAAGGCCCACCAAGGCGACGAUCCGUAGCUGGUCUGAGAGGAUGAUCAGCCACACUGGAACUGAGACACGGUCCAGACUCCUACGGGAGGCAGCAGUGGGGAAUAUUGGACAAUGGGCGCAAGCCUGAUCCAGCCAUGCCGCGUGGGUGAAGAAGGCCUUCGGGUUGUAAAGCCCUUUUGUUGGGAAAGAAAAGCAGUCGGUUAAUACCCGAUUGUUCUGACGGUACCCAAAGAAUAAGC